UUUGCCUACGGGGGGCAGCAGUGGGGAAUAUUGCACAAUGGGGGAAACCCUGAUGCAGCAACGCCGCGUGAAGGAAGACGGUUUUCGGAUUGUAAACUUCUGUUCUUAGUGAAGAAGAAUGACGGUAGCUAAGGAGCAAGCCACGGCUAACUACGUGCCAGCAGCCGCGGUAAUACGUAGGUGGCAAGCGUUAUCCGGAUUUAUUGGGCGUAAAGGGAACGCAGGCGGUCUUUUAAGUCUGAUGUGAAAGCCUUCGGCUUAACCGGAGUAG
rnacentral:rRNA from 1 species